rnacentral:rRNA from 1 species
GACGAACGCUGGCGGCGUGCUUAACACAUGCAAGUCGAACGGAAAGGCCCUGCUUUUGUGGGGUGCUCGAGUGGCGAACGGGUGAGUAACACGUGAGUAACCUGCCCUUGACUUUGGGAUAACUUCAGGAAACUGGGGCUAAUACCGGAUAGGAGCUCCUGCUGCAUGGUGGGGGUUGGAAAGUUUCGGCGGUUGGGGAUGGACUCGCGGCUUAUCAGCUUGUUGGUGGGGUAGUGGCUUACCAAGGCUUUGACGGGUAGCCGGCCUGAGAGGAUGACCGGCCGCAUGGGGACUGAGAUACGGCCCAGACUCAUACGGGAGGUAACAGUGGGGAAUAUUGCGCGAUGUGCGGAAGCCUGAUGCAGCAACGCUGCGUGCGGGAUGACGACCUUCGGGUUGUAAACCGCUUUCGCCUGUGACGAGGCGUGGGUGACGGUAAUGGGUAAAGAAGCACCGGGUAACUACGUG